UGGCUCGCUUCGGCAGCCACAUACACUAAAAUUGGAAUGAUACAGAGAUUAUUAGCACGGCCCCUGUGCAAGGAUGACACAUAAAGAACUUUAAGGGAUCUUU
ensembl:snRNA U6 U6 spliceosomal RNA